CAGUGCCACACCAGAUAGUUCACACCUCCCUCUCUCUCUCUCUCUCUCUCUCUCUCUCUCUCUCUCUUUCUCUCGGCAUCUCCUUUUUGAAAAGUUCAUCCAUGACCAAAGGGUCCGUCUGCAUUCACCAAAUAAAGAAAAAGAGACCAUAUAUAUCAGUAGGAAAAUCUAAAAUCAUUGCGAUUGGGAUUGAGGAGGCCAGGACCAGCUCUUCUCUCUACACAACAUAUGGCAUAUCACACCAAUUUGUUUUCUCACUGCCAAAGCUCCAUGGAUCUUGGAAGCUUUGGAGUCACUGAUUCAGUAAUGGAGUUGCCCUUCUUUUUCGACACCACAUCUAGAAGUGGGUACCUUGAAGAUGCCAUUGCUGACUGGAAAUAUGGUUUCGAGCAGCAACAAGUGCUGCCUCACUCUCCUGGUCGAAUGUCUUCUCGAUGACAGAAUAGCCACAAUUUGGGGGAUCAAGUAGACCCACUUCUGAAUUUUACCUCUAUGGCGGCCUAUUCUAGUCUUUCAGAAACCAAUGCUGGAGGUGCAGAACAAGAAGCCAUUCACUCUUGUGCGAAGUCUUCUUUACAGAAGGGUGCCAUGUCUAAAGGUUCACACGGCAUAGCUUCCUCAUUUCCGAGUAUUCUUUUUACUAAGAACUGCUCUCUCAGUUAAUGCCCAAAAUCAAGGGCUUCUUCACUCUUUCUUUCUUUAUUGUUCUUUCUCCUUUUUCCCUUUCGCACUUUAUCUUUUCAAGAGAUGCUUCCUAAUGCAUGCGUGGAUGGGUUGUUGUCCAGAGAAGAAGAUAGCUUAUCCAUUUGAUGUAGUGAAGCCUGGAGGAGUUGAAGGAGACGUAACCCUAAAAGAUAUAAAUCAUCGAAUACUCAUGCGACCAAAAAGGCCCAUUCCACAUCCGGUGGGUGACUAUGCAGCUCAUCCCUGUGCUUCUCCUGCCAGUGGUUUUGGUAUCUCUGGAAAAUCAGUAGUGGCCCUCACUAAAAUUCACACACAGGGAGGAGGCACCAUCACUAUUAUCAGGACGAAGAGCUAAAACAAAAUUUGCUUCUCACUUCUAUUUGUUACAGAGCAUUUCAUGCUAUUAUCAUUUGUAUAUAUAGUUUGCAUAUAUGUAGCUACAACACUAUAUAUACAUAAUCUCAAGAAAGAGAGUUAGCAAGAGGGUCUCAACUAGCCAUUUGCCUGCUUUUAUUUUAGAAUCAAAUGCUUGGGUGCCAAAAAUGUUUCCAUAUGUGUUGUUAAUAAACAUUAGAGUCUGUCAAAACAAUAAUUCAAAUAUAGUUUGCAAGAAUUGAGAA